rnacentral:rRNA from 1 species
UACACAUGCAAGUCGAACGGCAGCACGGGGGCAACCCUGGUGGCGAGUGGCGAACGGGUGAGAAAUACAUCGGAACGUGUCCUGUAGUGGGGGAUAGCCCGGCGAAAGCCGGAUUAAUACCGCAUACGCUCUGCGGAGGAAAGCG